UCCCUGGUGGUCUAGUGGUGAGGAUUCAGUGCUUGCGCUGCUGUGGCCUGGGUUCAAUCCCCGGUCGGGGAA